rnacentral:lncRNA from 9 species
CUCUAGUGUGUUUUCAGGCUUUAUGUUAUUUUCUCUUUGUUUUAUGUGAAAUUAGAGUUCCCGAUCAGACUGUAACAGCCUUAUGUUCCCAAGCAUACAAAUAAAUAUUUAUUAAAGGAAUAUAAGGGGAAAGUAAAUCAGGCAUUAACUCUUUAGCCGUAAUUAAAUGCAAGUAAAGGGGAUUAUAUAUCCAGCGUUUCAACUACUAAUGAGCCGUUCUUAUUUCUAAAGAAAUGUUAGUUCAUAACCCUCCCUUUGCUUUUUUCGUGGCCUGGUCUACUGUUGGUGAAACAUUUGCAGAUUAGCUGGUUCCCCUUCAUUCCUUCUCUUCUGAAAUGUGUGGUAAAGUGAAAAUGCCUAGAGCAAUAAUUUGUGGAUAAAAAACAGCUGCACAUGAGAAAUAAUUGAUGUGGUUUUAAAAUUACCCUGAGAUAGAAAUUAAAAUACCUUUUCAACCUAUGCUCUGAAAAGAGUACUGAAACUAAUGCCUUAUAAAUCAUGAAAUGGAAGCAGAGGGAGAGACACAAGUUUUUGAAUAGUCAAUCGAUUUUAGAUAAGUAGAACUUUAAAAUAUUGUACACGAUAUUUUAAAAUAUUCAGUUCUAUGAGAGGACAUAACUAUAGUUAAAGAAAGUCUUAUAUAGACCCUUAUAAUGUAUUAUGUUUUCCAUAAUUAUAAAUAAAAUACUGAUCACUUUGACCUCUUUACAAGCUAGUAAUUUUCAUGUUUUAGUUUUAGUUCCUUUUCCCAUUAGGUCUCUGAUAUUUUUAAAGAGUGAACCAAACGGCAAAUAUUUUUUUAUUCAUCUUUUUUCCAGGGGGAGGCCAUCACUGUGUGCUGCCUUAAUGCCACUUACACCUGCACAACUGGAGUGAGAGUGCUCGGAAGGACCAAAGAGGUUUUGUGUGUCGUGCCCCUGCCCCUAGAAGGGAUGUUCCUAAACUGCGCACCAAGUAAUGCUGUGACUCUCCUGGCACCUCGAAUUAAGGAACACCUUUCACAUCAAAACCGACACACCUCGGAUAAAGUCAGCAUUGGCUGAUGCGCCAAAUGCCCUCCUCUGUCCCCGAAAGCCGGCAGCGAAGCGGCGAAUGCCCCUCCAGUCACUGCGCUCCCCCUUGCCCUUGACCCUGGCUGGGCGAGGGGUUCCAUGCCCGGGUUCUGAGCCUCCGGGAGAAGGGAUGGCGGGAGAAGAGGGAGGGCUUGUGUCUGCUGGGGGAUGUGGGAAGUAGGCGCUAGCCUGUUUCGCGGUUUUUUAAGCCCCUUGGCGUGCCCUGACCUGAACAAGAGGGAGUCAACUGCUCUCUGGAAUGUUCUGGGAGAAGGUGGGAGACUGCUUCCAGAGGAGGCCUGUGGGUGCUGGAGGGCACCGGGGCG